UCUAGGACUCUACGUUCCCAAGUCGCGUCCUCUGCGGGGAGAACCUACUCUUUUCUAAGACUGACCUUCGGCUCCAGUCUUCCCUCAGUUACUGUGGGCAACUGCCCGGGAACCCAUUAUAGAGGUUCUCCCACACGGCCCUGUAGCCAUUUCUCUGUCCACCGACACAAAAAAAAUUGUUCACCGUCUUUAAGAGAAAGAGAUGGAGGGUGAGUGGAAUCCCAUCUGCCACCCCAGAGCCAACACAGAGCCCCCCAGACGCUGGUCUCACCUUCCAUUCAUCUGGAUGCUCAGUUCCACAUCCACCACUGGCUUCAAAUUGGAAUGAGACUCUUUGCCCCUAACCUGCUGGAGGAAGUUACAGAAGAAAGACCAUCAUCCCACCCCUGGUAUUUAUAAAAAACAAAAAGGGAGGAAUAUUGGCAUCAGCUGCUGCC